CAGUAGCCGCGGUAAUACGAAGGGUGCGAGCGUUACUCGGAAUUACUGGGCGUAAAGCGUGCGUAGGUGGUGGUUUAAGUCCGUUGUGAAAGCCCUGGGCCCAACCUGGGAAUUGCAGUGGAUACUGGGUCACUAGAGUGUGGUAGAGGAUAGUGGAAUUUCCGGUGUAGCAGUGAAAUGCGUAGAGAUCGGAAGGAACAUCUGUGGCGAAGGCGACUAUCUGGGCCAACACUGACACUGAGGCACGAAAGCGUGGGGAGCAAACAGGAUUAGAUACCCCCGUAGUCCCUGUCUCUUAUAC
rnacentral:rRNA from 1 species